UCAAGCUACAAAGAGCACAAGGGGAAUGCCUUGGCACCGAGAGCCGAAGAAGGACGUGACUAACUGCGAUAAGCUGCGGGGAGCCGUAAGUAGGCUUUGAUCCGCAGAUUUCCGAAUGGAGCAAUCCGGCAAGAGGAAAGUCUUGUCAUCAUAUACUGAAUACAUAGGUAUAUGAGGGGAACCGCCUGAACUGAAACAUCUAAGUAGGGCGAGGAAGAGAAAUCAACUGAGAUUCCGUAAGUAGUGGCGAGCGAACGCGGAAGAGGCCAAACCGAGAGUAGUAAUACUUUCGGGGUUCGGACAGAAUACGGCAUUGUAAAGGUUUAGUGGAAUGGAAUGGGAAGUCCAACCGAAGAAGGUGAGAGUCCUGUACACGAAAAGCCUGAACAGCCAUCUGUAUCCAGAGUACCGCCGGACACGUGAAACCCGGUGGGAAUACGGGGGGACCAUCCUCCAAGCCUAAAUACUACUCGGUGACCGAUAGUGAAGAAGUACUGUGAAGGAAAGGUGAAAAGUACCCCUGACGGGGAGUGAAAAAGAACCUGAAACCUUGUGUUUACAAGCACCGAAAGCUCAUCAAAGAGCGAUCGGGUACCUUUUGUAGAAUGGUCCGGCGAGUGAAUGUAACCGGCGAGGUUAAGCACUUAAGGUGUGAAGCCGCAGCGAGAGCAAGUCUGAAUAGGGCGUAUGAAGUCGGUUGUAUUCGACCCGAAACCGGGUGACCUACCCAUGGUCAGGUUGAAGUAAAGGUAAAACUUUAUGGAGGACCGAACCGACUCCCGUUGAAAUGGUAGCGGAUGAACUGUGGGUAGCGGAGAAAUUCCAAUCGAACCCGGAGAUAGCUGGUUCUCUCCGAAAUAGCUUUAGGGCUAGCCUUGAAAUAGAUUACCGGAGGUAAAGCACUGAAUUGGCUAGGGGCCGAGAGGUUACUGAACCUUAUCAAACUAAGAAUGCCGGAUAAUCGUUUUUCAGGAGUCAGACAGUGGGAGAUAAGUUUCAUUGUCAAAAGGGAAACAGCCCAGACCCACAGCUAAGGUCCCCAAGUAUAGUUAAGUGGAAAAGGAUGUGGAAUUGCACAGACAACCAGGAUGUUGGCUUAGAAGCAGCCACUCAUUAAAAGAGUGCGUAAUAGCUCACUGGUCGAGUGACUCUGCGCCGAAAAUUUAACGGGGCUAAACUAUACACCGAAGCUUGGGAUACAUCUAAUGUAUGGUAGGAGAGCGUUCUGUAUGGGGAGAAGUCGUAGCGAAAGCGGCGGUGGACUAUACAGAAGUGAGAAUGCCGGAAUAAGUAGCGAGAAUUAAGUGAGAAUCUUAAUGGCCGAAAGUCUAAGGUUUUUGGAGGAAGGUUCGUCCGCUCCAAGUAAGUCGGGAGCUAAGGUCAGGCCGAAAGGCGUAGCCGAUGCACAUACGGUUGAUAUUCCGUAACCAUCUGUAAUUUAAGCAAAGGGACACUUCAAAAGGGUGUGACCCGGGCGUUGGUUGACCCGGGCGUAAGGGACCGAAAUUAGAGUAGGGAAGCACACUUAGCUGAAGGCGAGAAAAGCUUUGCGUAUAGAAGCAGAUGCCCGUACCGCAAACCGACACAGGUGGACAGGAAGAGAAUUCUAAGGCCAGCGGGAGAAGGGUAGUUAAGGAACUCGGCAAAUUGACUCCGUAACUUCGGAAUAAGGAGUGCUCGAAAGAGCCGCAGAGAAUAGGCCCAGGCGACUGUUUAGCAAAAACACAGGUCUCUGCUAAAUCGAAAGAUGACGUAUAGGGGCUGACGCCUGCCCGGUGCCGGAAGGUUAAGAGGAGAGCUUAGCGCAAGCGAAGGUUCGAAUUGAAGCCCCGGUAAACGGCGGCCGUAACUAUAACGGUCCUAAGGUAGCGAAAUUCCUUGUCAGGUAAGUUCUG
rnacentral:rRNA from 1 species